ensembl:lncRNA
UUCCACACAGACAGCAAUACACAUCCAUCCAGACUGCUUACUCCUUUUCAGGGUCAUGGGGAACCUGGAGCCUAUCCCAGGGAGCAUCGGGCACAAGGCGGGGUACACCCUGGACAACGUGCCGGUCCAUCGCAGGGCACAAUCACAUACACACUCUCACACCCAUUCAUACACUAUGGACAUUUUACGGACUGGAGGAGGAAACCCCCGCAGCAUGCUCAUGGCCCCGGCGGGACUCGAACCCCAGACCCAUGCUAACCACUAAGCCACCGUGUGCCCCAGCAAUACACAAUGACUUAAUAAAAUUCUAAUUCUAAUUUUAAGUUCUUGACGAUUCCUACCAGUCAGUGGUAAGGCUGCAUCGGUCUUUUGCUCUUUACAGCAAAGGGAAAAUCACCUUUGCGUCAACACGUACUUCAGGGUGAAACUUUUCACGAGCAUCCUCUGGUUUGCUUGCUGUCCAGAAAAGCUGAGAAGACGCCAAAUUGUCGUGGAAAUUAGACAACACUUGCAGACUCGUCCUCUGAAGGUAAAAAAGUUUAUUACAGAAAGAUGGUUAAUACAGGAUAGAAUAAAGCAGGAUAGAAUAAUGAGAGCACUUUGAAGUGCUUGUGCUGAACCACUACUAUAUAUAUGAAACACAGAGCAUGACACACUUCUGUGUACCAAUAAGAAGCAGUUCAAACAGGCUUUGUUUUAGGGUCUUAGAAGAUGUACAGACGAACCUUGAACAGAAGCACAUGUUUGUGUCUCUGUAAGCAGAUAAAUAUGCUGUACUGAUCUCAGUGACAUGGCAUAGCCUUCUUAGGAGUUAUCCUCAGAUGAAUUGUGUCCUGCAGUGGAUUGGCACCAGCAGGGGGUACAUUACACAAGUGAAAGUAAAACUCUACAUUAAAACAAGACAGCUUGGAUUGGCACCCUGCCUUGUACCCCAUGUUCCCUGAGAUAGACUCCAGGUUCCCCACAACCCUGAAGGAUAAGCAGUAUAGAAAAUGGAUGGAUGGAUGUUUAUUUCUGCACCUAAUAUCUCACUUUACAUCAUAUGCUUUACCCAGCAACUUCUACGCCGAAGAGCAAUGGUGGUGAGGAAAACACACUAAAAAUGGCA